UUGUAACCCAUCAACAUAUGAAACACAUAACCUCCUUUGGUACAGCAAGGUACCAUCACCACUGAUCUCAAAUACGAUUACAUUUUUUCGACCUACAUCACCCUUGAUUCUCAUCAAGACAGAAUCUAGAAUUUGCUUCUCCUUAAUCUCUACACCAAGAAAUGACCGACAUUGCAUCACUAUUCUUGAGUCCAAAAGGAGAACUCUAAGAUUAGCCAUGCGGGGAAUAUCCCUCUCCAA
rnacentral:lncRNA from 1 species